rnacentral:piRNA from 1 species
AGUCCUGAUCCCAACCUGAACAGUGUC